rnacentral:rRNA from 1 species
UAGUAACGGCGAGUGAAGCGGCAACAGCUCAAAUUUGAAAUCUGGCCCCUUCGGGGUCCGAAUUGUAAUUUGUAGAGAGUGCUUCGGGCGAGACCGCGGUCUAAGUCCAUUGGAACAUGGUGUCAUAGAGGGUGAGAAUCCCGUAUGCGACCGUGGCUCGAGCCCAUGUGAAGCCUCUUCGACGAGUCGAGUUGUUUGGGAAUGCAGCUCAAAAUGGGUGGUAAAUUUCAUCUAAAGCUAAAUACUGGCUGGAGACCGAUAGCGCACAAGUAGAGUGAUCGAAAGAUGAAAAGCACUUUGGAAAGAGAGUCAAACAGUACGUGAAAUUGUUGAAAGGGAAGCGCUUGCAACCAGACCUGCCCGUAGGCGAUCAGCCGCUGUUCUCAGCGGUGUACUCGCUCUGCGAUCAGGCCAGCAUCGGUUUCGGCGGUCGGAUAAAGGCCUUGGGAAUGUAGCUUCCCUUCGGGGGAGUCUUAUAGCCCUCGGUGCAAUGCGGCCAGCCGGGACCGAGGACCGCGCUUCGGCUAGGAUGCUGGCGUAAUGGUUGUAAGCGACCCGUCUUGAAACACGGACCAAGGAGUCUAACAUCUAUGCGAGUGUUUGGGUGUCAAACCCAUACGCGGAAUGAAAGUGAACGGAGGUGAGAACCCUUAAAGGGCGCAUCAUCGACCGAUCCAGAUGUCUUCGGAUGGAUUUGAGUAUGAGCAUAGCUGUUGGGACCCGAAAGAUGGUGAACUAUGCCUGAAUAGGGUGAAGCCAGAGGAAACUCUGGUGGAGGCUCGCAGCGGUUCUGACGUGCAAAUCGAUCGUCAAA